rnacentral:rRNA from 1 species
GGGGGGGGGGGGGGGGGGGCGGGGGGCGGGCGGGGCGGGCGGGGGGGCCCGGCGGUGGUGGGGUGCUCGAGUGGCGAACGGGUGAGUAACACGUGAGUAACCUGCCCUUGACUUUGGGAUAACUUCAGGAAACUGGGGCUAAUACCGGAUAGGAGCUCCUGCUGCAUGGUGGGGGUUGGAAAGUUUCGGCGGUUGGGGAUGGACUCGCGGCUUAUCAGCUUGUUGGUGGGGUAGUGGCUUACCAAGGCUUUGACGGGUAGCCGGCCUGAGAGGGUGACCGGCCACAUUGGGACUGAGAUACGGCCCAGACUCCUACGGGAGGCAGCAGUGGGGAAUAUUGCACAAUGGGCGGAAGCCUGAUGCAGCAACGCCGCGUGCGGGAUGACGGCCUUCGGGUUGUAAACCGCUUUCGCCUGUGACGAAGCGUGAGUGACGGUAAUGGGUAAAGAAGCACCGGCUAACUACGUG